UACGUAGGGGGCGAGCGUUAUCCGGAAUUAUUGGGCGUAAAGCGUGCGUAGGCGGAAUGUUAAGUCAUUUGUAAAAGAUCUCAGCCUAACUGAGUAAGGCGAAUGAAACUGGCAAUCUUGAAUACGGUAGAGGUAAAUGGAAUUCCAUGUGUAGCGGUGGAAUGCGUAGAUAUAUGGAGGAACACCAAUGGCGAAGGCAGCUUACUGGGCCGGAAUUGACGCUGAGGCACGAAAGCGUGGGGAGCAAACAGG
rnacentral:rRNA from 1 species